rnacentral:rRNA from 1 species
GCAGCAGGCGCGAAACCUUUACACUGCACGCCAAGUGCGAUAUGCGGAUCCCGAGUGCGUAGGGCAUAGAGCCCUUCGCUUUUGUGCAUCGUAAGGUGGUACACGAAUAAGGGCUGGGCAAGACCGGUGCCAGCCGCCGCGGUAACACCGGCAGCCCGAGUGAUGGCCGAUAUUAUUGGGCCUAAAGCGUCCGUAGCUGGCCGCUCAAGUCCGUCGGGAAAUCCACUUGCUCAACUAGUGGGCGUCCGGUGGAAACUGAUCGGCUUGGGACAGGAGAGACGCAGACGGGUACGUCCGGGGUAGGAGUGAAAUCCUGUAAUCCUGGACGGACCACCGAUGGCGAAAGCACGUCGGGAGAACGGAUCCGACAGUGAGGGACGAAAGCUAGGGUCUCGAACCGGAUUAGAUACCCGGGUAGUCCCAGCCGUAAACAAUGCUUGCUAGGUGUGGCACAGGCUACGAGCGGGCGAUGUGCCGUAGGAAGCCGAGAAGCGAG